CUCAAAGGAAUUGACGGGGGCCCGCACAAGCGGAGGAGCAUGUGGUUUAAUUCGAUGAUACGCGAGGAACCUUACCAGGGCUCGAACGCAGGGGGGAUAUACCUGAAAGGGUAUAGCCAGCGAUGGUCGCCUGCGAGGUGCUGCAUGGUUGUCGUCAGCUCGUGCCGUGAGGUGUCAGGUUAAGUCCUAUAACGAGCGCAACCCCUAUCCAUAGUUGCCAGCGGGUAAAGCCGGGGACUCUAUGGGAACUGCCUGCGCAAGCAGAGAGGAAGGAGGGGAUGACGUCAAAUCAGCACGGCCCUUAUGUCCUGGGCUACACACGUGCUACAAUGGUCGGUACAGAGGGCAGCGACCACGUGAGUGGGAGCCAAUCCUUAAAAGCCGAUCUCAGUUCGGAUUGGAGUCUGCAACCCGACUCCAUGAAGUUGGAUUCGCUAGUAAUCGCGCAUCAGCCAUGGCGCGGUGAAUACGUUCCCGGGCCUUGUACACACCGGCCGUCAAGCCAUGGGAGCUG
rnacentral:rRNA from 1 species